CGGCUGCCACUCGCUGGUUCCCUCCCGGAGCUCCUUUGCGAAGAGGCCGCCCUACCGGAGCUUUUGAACUGCUGCGCGCGGAGGCAGCAGCAGCAGCAGCAGCGGCGGCGGUGCAAAGUAAGAUGCCUCAAUAAACAAAAUGAGCGUGUUUGGUGAUUUUGAUUCACAGAUUUAAGUUGAUGUCAAGAAUCGCUUCAGCAGAGAAGAGCUUUCUCAUACAUCUUUUUAACUAUCAAGGUGAGGCGAUGGCCAAAGAUACUAGAGUCACUAAAUUCAGCUUCGAGUUUUGGCUGCACAAGACUAUUGAAUGGGGUCAGACAAGCACUUCAGAAUCUCAGCAAGAUGUCUGCCUUCACUUGCCUGAAUUACAGGAAUUUCUACUACAGAUUUAUGGAGCUUUGAAACAUAUGAACUGUACUAGUGCAGUCCAAGAGUUUCCACUAAUUGGUCUAUUAUUGGGAAGGCUUUGUUGGAACCCCUUUGUCAUUGGCUAUGACGAAUGCCAGAAGAUUCUAAUGUGGUGCUUAUGUUGUCUGUACAGUGGUGAACCACAGAACCCUGUGGAAUUGAAGGCCAACAGCUGGAUACAAGGUUCAUUGUGCCACUUGCUUUCAUUUUCUGGGCUGAGAAAUCAUGACACUGAUAUCAACAACUUUAUUUCAACUCUUGGGUUCACGUCUGCGGAUUACUAUUCUAAAUUAAUUGAAAAUGUGGUCUUAUCGUUAGUGACAGAACUCAGCAGAAAUCAGUUUAAUGGAGUUAACAGACAACAAAGUAUGUCUUCACGAGUAAAAACCAUAUCCCUUCUCUGUAUACCUCUUAUUACUUUGCCUGAUGUAAUGCCACUGCUGGAAGCACUUCUUAGCUAUCAUGAAGACAGAUCACAAGAGGUCCUCCAUGCUGAAUUUUUAGAAGCGGUGAAUAAGGCUGUGUUACAAAAAAAGAUUUUCUUGCCUGAAUCUGCUGUGCUGCAGUUGUGGCUUCGCCAUCUGCCUGGUCUGGAGAAAGCAGUGCUGCAGAAUCUCGAAAUUCUAAUCUCAACUCAGCCAAGUUCACUGGAAGAGAUGGCAUGCCUGAUAAAAUCUUCCUUAUUGGACCAAGCUGCAUGUCAUCCAGCUGUCUUCAGAACUAUAGACGAAAUUUUCAAGAAUGCACUGCUGGAAACUGAUGGAGCACCAGAAGUAAUGACCGUAAUGCAGGUAUUUACACAGUGCUUUGUUCAAGCAUACCACAAGAAUAAUAAGCAGCUUAAGUUUCCACUGAAGGCCUACUUUCCUAAUAAUCCUCAUUCACUUGUGAUGGCUUUCCUUAAACAUCCUUCAGACUUGCCAGCUACUGGUUUGCAUCAACACUUGACCCACAUUGCAGAAAUGCUCAAAGCAGCAGUAGAAGCAAAGUGCACUGGAUAUUGUGGAGACCUCUUUGAGAACUGGUUUUUGUUUGUUCAUUUUGGAGAAUGGGCUGAUAUCGCAGCAGAACAGUUGUUGUCACAAGUGGAAUCCUCAGAUGCUUUGUUGUGGCUUUUGGCAUUUUACUAUUAUCCAGGUGAAGAGAAUCGGCGGAGAACUCAAACAAUGGUGGAAGCAAGAUCUGUAUGUGACCAUCUGACUGCCCUGUUCAGAACUCCAACUAUUUCUGUCACAGAUCUGCAGACUGCAGUUAGCAGCGGAACAAAACAAAACAAAUCAAGUAGCAACCUGGUAGUUACACACCUGAUUAUCAGCUUUCUGCUGUUUACUCCUACUGGAUACACAAUAGCCAAAGAAUUUAUUACCCAUUUUGUAGUUGCAGGCAGUGAAAUCCCAGAAGUUACUGGUCUUCUAACUCGUCUUGCAAAUAGAGUCGGCCAACUUGGAAUGAAAUAUCAAAGGACUGUAAAGCUGGUGAAUGAUCUCCUCCUAAAACUAAAAUGUGGAUUUUAGUUUUCUUUGUGAUACUCAGCUUGGCCCAAUAGUCAGUCUAACUAAUCAGAACAGCCAGAUGGAGGAUGGAGAGAAGAGCUUGCAUCUAUUUCUGCUCUCAUGUUGUCUUCUUGGAAACUACACUGCCAUUAGCUAAAUGAAAGUCCUCUGCAGUGUUUUCUUCAAGCAAGCCUCCUGGUUCUGAAGAAGGAAAUAGAGCAUAACUUGCUUCAUGAAUGCAGCAGAUCCUUUCUUGAAUACAUCAAAAGGUCUACAUUAACUGUGACUGCAGUAACUCAGUAUGGUGCCAUACAAACUCCAGAUUUCUCCUGAAUUUGGAAGACUGAAUCCAGGACUGCUGUCGGAGCAUAUUUCAGCUAAUUAGAGUUUGGGAACUGAACUCUUUUGAGUUGGACACCACAGACAGAGAAGCUCUCUUGUGUGCGUAUGGGCACUUGGUGAAUGCCCCUAAGGAAGGUAAGCAGGAACAGAGUUUCUGGUUUUGUGCAUUCAUAAAGGUUUAUUAUUCUCUCCUUCUCUUUUUGUAGUCAUCAGUAAACCAACUGAUAAUUUUGAGACGAAAUACAAAUGAGAAAAUACUACUUGGGCACAUGCGUGAUUUACAAAAUUGUUUAUUUAUAAAGCUUAUUGCCAUUAUUUUACAAGACAGGACUUCCACAACUACUGUGAUUAAUAAGUAACAUGAUUAGCUUCAUUCAUAGCAAAGUGAUGUGACCAGCUUGUCACUAUUUCAUGGUUAAGAGUUUUAAUGGUGUGCUCACAAUAUUGUGGCAAUAAGUUACCCAUAAAAAAGACCUUGAGAAAGACAGACAUCUUUGUCUCUUCAGUUUUCUUCAGAUUAAACAUCCCCUAAGAGUCCAUUUUGCAUCUAGUUAUUUUUCCCUGUAGCUGUGCUAAACAUGAUAAAAAUGUCCACAAUCUCAAUAUUAACAAUUUAGAUUAGUAAUUACUUGCUUGCUCCAAACUGACUUUAAAUUUUGCAGCAGAUUUUAAUUAUCAGUUUGCUAAAUGCAAAAGUAGUACAAAAUACCUAUUUAAAUAAAUCUGUCUCUGGUGAUUUUCUGGCCUGGUUUGUAUAAUACCCCAUGAUAACUAUUACAAUGAAGUGUCUUCUGGCAGAUAAUAAGUUGGCGCCACAGACACUUACAGAAGUGAGGGCAUAUUGGAGUUUUUUCCUGCUUCAUUGCCAUUACCCUCUAGCAAAGAAAAGUAUGGGGUAAAAUGUUUGUCAGCUGAUUGUUUUAGCAGUCACAUAAAUUGUUCCUUUGAUGUCCAAGGUCAAUGAAAUCUUAGUACCACCAGCCUUUGCUAGAA